rnacentral:miRNA from 1 species
UAGCAGCACGUCAUGGUUUGUA